UGGGGAAUUGUUCACAAUGGGCGCAAGCCUGAUGACGCAACGCCGCGUGGGUGACGAAGGUCUUCGGAUUGUAAAGCUCUUUUGGCGGGGACGAUAAUGACGGUACCCGCAGAAUAAGCCCCGGCUAACUUCGUGCCAGCAGCCGCGGUAAUACGAAGGGGGCUAGCGUUGUUCGGAAUUACUGGGCGUAAAGCGCACGUAGGCGGACUUGUAAGUCAGGGGUGAAAUCCCGGGGCUCAACCUCGGAACUGCCCUUGAUACUGCAAAUCUCGAGUCCGAUAGAGGUGAGUGGAAUUCCUAGUGUAGAGGUGAAAUUCGUAGAUAUUAGGAAGAACACCAGUGGCGAAGGCGGCUCACUGGAUCGGUACUGACGCUGAGGUGCGAAAGCGUGGGGAGCAAACAGGAUUAGAUACCCUCGUAGUCCCUGAGCGGGCUGGCAAGGCGCAU
rnacentral:rRNA from 1 species